AGAUACCCGCCAGGUGGUUGGUCCGUAUUAAAAGUGUUCAUUUUGCUUUGUGGUAUAGCGGUUGGUAUGUCAUUCGGCAAGUUUAUUGUUCACAAACGUUUACUGGGAAAACGUCUCAGAUUGCAGAUGUUUCAAGGUGAUCAAGGUUCCUGGAUGAUCAUGUUUCUAACCACAAUUAUUUCACUGUUUAUAUUUUCGCACAUUUUCAACGGUUUUCUAAGUCUUGGCUCGGAUUUGGAUCGAUAUAAGUUGUCUGGCUUUUUUGGCGUGUCUAAUGCAAACUUUAUGAAAUUCGCUGCACUGGGAACUUGGACUGGAGAUUUUGUCACUGCGUGGAUGGUCACAGAUAUAAUGUUGCAGG
rnacentral:lncRNA from 1 species